rnacentral:rRNA from 1 species
GACGAACGCUGGCGGCGUGCUUAACACAUGCAAGUCGAACGGUGAAGCUCCAGCUUGCUGGAGUGGAUCAGUGGCGAACGGGUGAGUAACACGUGAGCAACCUGCCCCUGACUCUGGAAUAAGCGCUGGAAACGGCGUCUAAUACUGGAUACGAGAAGGGUCCGCAUGGGCACUUUCUGGAAAGUUUUUCGGUUGGGGAUGGGCUCGCGGCCUAUCAGCUUGUUGGUGAGGUAAUGGCUCACCAAGGCGACGACGGGUAGCCGGCCUGAGAGGGCGACCGGCCACACUGGGACUGAGACACGGCCCAGACUCCUACGGGAGGCAGCAGUGGGGAAUAUUGCACAAUGGGCGAAAGCCUGAUGCAGCGACGCCGCGUGAGGGAUUACGGCCUUCGGGUUGUAAACCUCUUUCAGCAGGGAAGAAGCGAAAGUGACAGUACCUGCAGAAGAAGCACCGGCUAACUACGUG